AAAUAGCUGUACAAAAUAUUUACCUAUCAAGUGGACAGAGCUGGACACCCAAUGUUUCGGCUGCAAGGUGUCCAGCUCUGUCCACUUGAUAGGUAAAUAUUUUGUACAGCUAUUUAUUUAU